rnacentral:rRNA from 1 species
GAUGAACGCUGACAGAAUGCUUAACACAUGCAAGUCUUUGGCGAAGCUGUGCUUGCACAGCCUAGCCAAGGCGGACGGGUGAGUAACGCGUAAGGGACUUGCCCUGCAGUCAGGGAUAACAGACGGAAACGACUGAUAAGACCUGGUAAAGUCAGGCGGACUCAUGUCCAGCCUGAUGAAAAGGAAUGCUGCAGGAGAGCCUUGCGUCCUAUUAGCUUGUUGGUGGGGUAACGGCCCACCAAGGCGAUGAUAGGUAGCCGGCCUGAGAGGGUGGACGGCCACAAGGGGACUGAGAUACGGCCCUUACUCCUACGGGAGGCAGCAGUGGGGAAUAUUGGACAAUGGGGGCAACCCUGAUCCAGCAAUUCUGUGUGCACGAUGAAGGUCUUCGGAUUGUAAAGUGCUUUCAGCAGGGAAGAAAAAAAUGACGGUACCUGCAGAAGAAGCGACGGCUAAAUACGUGCCAGCAGCCGCGGUAAUACGUAUGUCGCGAGCGUUAUCCGGAAUUAUUGGGCAUAAAGGGCAUCUAGGCGGCCCUGUAAGUCUAGGGUGAAAACCUGCGGCUCAACCGCAGGCCUGCCCCGGAAACUACAGGGCUAGAGUGCUGGAGAGGUGGACGGAACUGCACGAGUAGAGGUGAAAUUCGUAGAUAUGUGCAGGAAUGCCGAUGAUGAAGAUAGUUCACUGGACGGCAACUGACGCUGAAGUGCGAAAGCUAGGGGAGCAAACAGG